UACAGAGGGGGCAAGCGUUGUCCGGAAUUAUUGGGCGUAAAGAGCGUGUAGGCGGUCCGGUAAGUCAGCUGUGAAAGUCAAGGGCUCAACCCUUGAAAGCCGGUUGAUACUGUCGGGCUAGAGUCCGGAAGAGGCGAGUGGAAUUCCUGGUGUAGCGGUGAAAUGCGCAGAUAUCAGGAGGAACACCGAUGGCGAAGGCAGAUCUCUGGGCCAGUACUGACACUGAGGAGCGAAAGCGUGGGUAGCAAACAGG
rnacentral:rRNA from 1 species